UAUACUAUACAUACUAAAUAAUACUUAUAUCUUUCGACUUGACUCAGGUUGCUGAAAAUGUUCGACUCGUAACUUGUAUAGUUUCCUGCUCAAUUUCGUUUAUCGAUUUUAAAAUUGACUGACAUUUACCUUAGUAAAUAUUUGUGUUUUUGUUUUUAGGAUAACUCAAUUUAAACUAGUUAAAAAAUUAGCUCGGCUUGUUCGGUUUUGAGCAAUUAUUAUAUUACAUUAUAACGCAGGGUAAUCUUUUAUUUUCCGUUUGGAUUCCUAUAACAGGAUUUAAAGAGACACACAAUGGAAAACGGUAAUAUA